rnacentral:rRNA from 1 species
UACGUAGGGUGCGAGCGUUAAUCGGAAUUACUGGGCGUAAAGCGUGCGCAGGCGGUUAUUUAAGUCAGGUGUGAAAGCCCUGGGCUUAACCUAGGAAUUGCGCUUGAGACUGGAUAGCUUGGAGUGCGGCAGAGGGAGGUGGAAUUCCACGUGUAGCAGUGAAAAUGCGUAGAGAUGUGGAGGAACACCGAUGGCGAAGGCAGCCUCCUGGGCCAGCACUGACGCUCAUGCACGAAAGCGUGGGGAG